rnacentral:rRNA from 1 species
GGAUGUGAUCAUACCAGCACUAAUGCAUCGGAUCUAAUCAGAACUCCAAAGUUAAGCGUGCCUAGUCGAGAGUAGUACUAGGAUGGGUGACCACCUUGGAAGUCCUCGUUUUGCAUUCU